rnacentral:guide_RNA from 1 species
GAACUGGGUUGGGUAGUUUGUAAGUAGAAAGUUGGUGAUGAGGAUAGAUACGUGAGUGGC